rnacentral:rRNA from 1 species
CGCACGGGUGAGUAACACGUAUGCAACCUGCCCCUGUCAGGGGGACAACCCGCCGAAAGGCGGGCUAAACCCGCGUACAUGCCACCGGGGCAUCCCGGAGGCAGGAAAGGCUUCGGCCGGACAGGGAUGGGCAUGCGGCGCAUUAGGCAGUAGGCGGGGUAACGGCCCACCUAACCGACGAUGCGUAGGGGUUCUGAGAGGAAGGUCCCCCACACUGGUACUGAGACACGGACCAGACUCCUACGGGAGGCAGCAGUGAGGAAUAUUGGUCAAUGGUCGGGAGACUGAACCAGCCAAGCCGCGUGAGGGAGGAAGGUACAGAGUAUCGUAAACCUCUUUUGUCAGGGAACAAAGACUGGGACGCGUCCCCGGAUGGGUGUACCUGAAGAAAAAGCAUCGGCUAACUCCGUGCCAGCAGCCGCGGUAAUACGGAGGAUGCGAGCGUUAUCCGGAUUUAUUGGGUUUAAAGGGUGCGCAGGCGGUCUGUUAAGUCAGCGGUCAAAGCCCGGGGCUCAACCCCGGCCCGCCGUUGAAACUGGCAGUCUCGAGUUGGAGAGAAGUAUGCGGAAUGCGCGGUGUAGCGGUGAAAUGCAUAGAUAUCGCGCAGAACUCCGAUUGCGAAGGCAGCAUGCCGGCUCCACACUGACGCUGAGGCACGAAAGCGUGGGUAUCGAACAGGAUUAGAUACCCUGGUAGUCCACGCAGUAAACGAUGAAUGCUG